rnacentral:sRNA from 1 species
GGAUAUUGACUUAUUUUUAGGAAACGUAAAUAUUUUCACCAUGAUCGAUUAGACUGGGAUGAACACAGUUCUGCCGGCAGAUAUGUUUCAAGACGCUGUAAACCUCUGAAGGAAUUUAUGCUUUCUCAAGAUGUUGAACAUGAGCGUCUCUUUGACCUCAUUCAGAAAAUGUUGGAGUAUGAUCCAGCCAAAAGAAUUACUCUCAGAGAAGCCUUAAAGCAUCCUUUCUUUGACCUUCUGAAGAAAAGUAUAUAGAUCUGUAAUUGGACAGCUCUCUCGAAGAGAUCUUACAGACUGUAUCAGUCUAAUUUUUAAAUUUUAAGUUAUUUUGUACAGCUUUGUAAAUUCUUAACAUUUUUAUAUUGCCAUGUUUAUUUUGUUUGGGUAAUUUGGUUCGUUAAGUACAUAGCUAAGGUAAUGAACAUCUUUUUCAGUAAUUGUAAAGUGAUUUAUUCAGAAUAAAUUUUUUGUGCUUAUGAAGUUG